AUAGAUAUUGAUAUAUGUCAACAAUCUUAACCAACAGGCAAGUUUUAAAACAGUAUAUAGCUUUGGAAUUAAUUUAUUUCCAAUAUAUCCUGAUUGUGCAGCAAAGAUAAGUAAAGGGAGGUAAUAACAAUGUUACAAACUGAAUUUGUCAUGAACCUUGGCUAGAUAUAUAUUUGUUAAAUUAAUGUAAAUAUUUGACAAACAUAAUACAUAAGAUUUCAUAUUCACGCAAAGUAUCUUAACUAAAUUCAUGCACAUGCUAAAAUAACUAUCCUGGUUGCUAGGAUAGAAAAAUGAAAUUUUCAACAUGUAUUAUGCAGUCAGUAAACACACACAUAAGUGUUAAUGACCAUUAAUUUUGUUAAACUUUCGACCAAAUCCAUUACCUGAUCAGAAUCUGAUGAAAAUUACAGCUCCUGAAAAUCCCCAUGGUUGUUGGUGGUGCGGACAGAAUGUGAGCCAGGAAGUACAUCAUUCUGUAAAAGCCCAGACAUUCCAUAUGUAGGAGUACCUUCAUUCUUCAAUUGCAUCUUAGCUAAGAAGUUAACUUGGAUCUGCUUCACAGGGAGUCAUUGAUGUUCAGCUUGGUAGGAUACAGUUUUCUGAUCAGAUAAAAUCGCUUUAUCUUAUCUGGCUGGAAUUUAAAGAGCUGAGACUACCAUCAGGAAAAUCUGCCGUAUAAAAACACUAACUCAGAACAUUGCUACAGGGUCUACCACACAGUAAUGCUGACUAGAAAAUUGCUAUUGAGUCUAUUGCUAUUGAGUCUACCACACAGUAACACGAACCCAGAGCAUUGCUACUAUGUCAUCUAUGCAAUAACUGUGAUUCAGAACAUUGCUACUGAGUCUACCACACAGUAACACUGACCCAGAAUCUUGCUACUGAGUCUACCACACAGCAAUGUGGACUAGGACAUUGCUAUUAAGAGUUUCCAUGCAGUUACACUGACCCGAGUAGUCCACACAGGAAAAACACACAGUAAUGUUGACUUAGGAUGUUGCUGCCGAGUCUUCCAUACUGUUAUAAUGACACCAAAGUGUAGCUUUUCUAUGGAAAAUUCAGACAGAUAACUUCAGUUACCUGUCAAUAGGCGCAAUAAACUCUUUAUUAUCUGUUUAUGUUAACACUCCUGAUACUGAAGGCUGGACUCUGCUGAACACUGGAAAAAAAGCGGAGAUAAACAUGCAACUCACUCUGUGUGACAUGAGUGCAAAAAAUUUUCAAAUGUGACAGAUAUAGACAGAAUUAUUUUAAGUAACAUUCAAGUCAUUGUGUUCAAAGGUGGUAGUGAAAAUCCCUGAAUGUAACAUCAAAGUUCAGAUGACUGUGAAAGAAAGACAGUUAUACUUACUAGUAAAAAUCUACAAAAUUAGAUAUUAAAAUAAUGUUUAAAAGUGACAGUAGGUACAGUAAAAUGUGGAUAAUAUGUGUUUUGAUUGAUAAUGUCAAAUAAUAAAGUGUAACUAAUUGUU